rnacentral:lncRNA from 1 species
AAUGCCAGUUUCUAACUCCCAGAAACCCAUUCUAGGACCCAAACACAUGUGAUCUCUUUGGGAAAUUUUCUAGUUCAGUUCAACAAAUGGUAGGCUUUAUCGAUGGUCUCCAGUCCUCUGUGAUGAGUUACUUGGUCUUGUUGCUAUCAUCAAGAGUAUGUAAGAGGUGGUUCAUUUGAAAGAAGAAUAGCAUUGCUUCUAUGCCUGCAAACUCCUUUUUAGAUCCAGCCUGCCAGAGGAGCUCUUUGGGAGAAUUGGUACUUCAUACAUGGAAGUAGAGGUCCCGCCUUGUUCUGUACACUGUCUUACUGAUUCUGCUGAGGGCUUGUACCCUGCACCAAAGCAUGAUUCCCGGAACACACUCCUUCGCCAGCCCCCAGGCCCUGGUAUAUGCUGUCUCUGCCUAGAAGAUUCCAUCUGCUUUCACCAUUUCCAAAUGCAGAGUCCCAACUUCAAGGCCCAGCUUUAGUGUCAAGCUGUCCACAAAGGUUUUCCAGAUCCCUCCUGGACUCUUCCUCCCUUGUGUUUCCAUGGCCCUUUCCUGUACUUAAAAAAAGAGCAUGCACCACAAUCUGCUGAGUGUUCUACUUAUUACAUUCACAUCAGCCUCAUGGUCUAUAGAGGGCAAACCAGGGUAUCUAGAAAAAUGCCUUAUAUACAUCAGAUUCUCAAUAAACAUCAAGUUUCUUAUUUAUCA